CCUUUAAAUACGCUUUCAGGUUAGGCCAAAUUCUUUUAUUUUGCAAAAUAGUCCAGGCUGAGCCUCAUUUUAAGUCUGAACCAGUCGAACAAGCCAGGCUUAUGCUAAUAUUUUACAAUACAAGCUUGGCCUGUUUAAGCCAAAGCCUGGCUUGGCCUAGUCUAUUUCCAACCCUACUCGAUAUGGGGGCUGUAUCCUGCCUUGGUAUGCCAAACCGUCCCC
rnacentral:lncRNA from 1 species